rnacentral:rRNA from 1 species
UACGUAGGGCGCAAGCGUUGUCCGGAAUCAUUGGGCGUAAAGAGCUCGUAGGCGGUUUGUCACGUCGGCUGUGAAACCCUGGGGCUCAACCCCGGGCCUGCAGCCGAUACGGGCUGACUAGAAUUCGGUAGGGGAGUCUGGAAUUCCUGGUGUAGCGGUGAAAUGCGCAGAUAUCAGGAGGAGCACCAAUAGCGAAGGCAGCUCGCUGGGACGGUACUGACGCUAAGGCGCGAAAGCGUGGGGAGCGAACAGG